rnacentral:rRNA from 1 species
AUGAAAAGCACUUUGAAAAGAGGGUGAAAAGAACCUGAAACCGUCACGGGGGAAGCGGAUUGCGUUGGCCUGGUGGGCGCCUGUGUGUUCAGCCUUUUUGGGUGCAUUGACAUAGGUGCUUAUCCGCCGUGGGUUUUCGGGGGCCGAUGUUGGGUCUCCGGAGGCUGAGGGCUCCCUUCGGGUGAGGACGGCGGAGUGACGACGCGAUACGACCCGUCUUGAAACACGGACCAAGGAGUCUAGCGCGGGUGCGAGUCGGAGGGUGCAAGCCCGUGGGCGAAGUGAAAGCGAGUUUAAAAACGAGCAGUUUGGGGCGGCAUAAGAUCGUUGAUCUUAAGACCGACCCAGAGCAGUUGCGCUGGGACCCGAAAGAUGGUGAACUAUGCCGGAGUAGGGCAAAGCCAGAGGAAACUCUGGUGGAGGCUCGUAGCGGUGCUGACGUGCAAAUCGCUCGUCCAACUUGGGUAUAGGGGCGAAAGACUAAUCGAACCAUCUAGUAGCUGGUUCCCUCCGAAGUUUCUCUCAGGAUAGCGGGCCGACAAGUUGUUUUGUGC